rnacentral:rRNA from 1 species
UGCGGAGGAUCAUUAAGAAUUAGAUAAUAUUUGUGAAAUUUAUACAGCAAACAAUAAUUUUACAAUCAAAACAAAAAAAAUUAAAACUUUUAACAAUGGAUCUCUUGGUUCUCGUAUCGAUGAAAAAGCACCGAAACGCGAUAUUUCUGGUGAAUUGCAAAAGUGAAUCAUCAGUUUUUGAACGCACAUUGCACUUUGGGGUAUCCCCCAAAGUAUACUUGUUUGACCGUUGUUUCUCUCUUGGAAUUGCAUUGUUUUCUAAAAUUUCAAAUCAAAUUCGUUUGAAAAACAACACUAUUCAACCUCAAAUCAAGUAGGAUUACCCGCUGAACUUAAGCAUAUCAAUAAGCGGAGGAAAAGAAACCAACAGGGAUUGCCUUAUAACGGCGAGUGAAGCGGCAAAAGCUCAAAUUUGAAAUCGGCCCCCAGGUCGAGUUGUAAUUUGUAGAUUGUAUCUUGAGAGCGGAUUAAAGUCUGUUGGAACACAGCGCCUUAGAGGGUGACAGCCCGUAAAAUCUAUUCUCAUUGUAAGAUACUUUCGAAGAGUCGAGUUGUUUGGGAAUGCAGCUCUAAGUGGGAGGUAAAUUCCUUCUAAAGCUAAAUAUUGACGAGAGACCGAUAGCGAACAAGUACUGGAAGGAAAGAUGAAAAGCACUUUGAAAAGAGAGUGAAAAAGUACGUGAAAUUGUUAAAAGGGAAGGGUAUUGAAUCAGACUUGGUGCUGUUGUUCAACUGUGUUUCGGCAUAGUGUACUCAGCAGUAUAGGCCAAGGUGGGGUGUUUGGGAGUGAAAAAGAAGUUGGAACGUAACUCUUCGGAGUGUUAUAGCCUACUUUCAUAGCUCCUCAGGCGCCUCAGGACUGCGCUUCGGCAAGGA